rnacentral:misc_RNA from 1 species
CAGAGUUUACAACUCCCAAACCCUUAUGUGAACAUACCAAUCGUUGCUUCGGCGAACCGCCCCGGCGUCCGGUCAGCCUCGUGCUGGCCGCGGCCCGGACCCAGGCGGCCGCCGGAGACCCCCAAACUCUUGUUUUAUUACAGUAUCUUCUGAAUCCGCCGCAAGGCAAAACAAAUGAAUCA